CAACUUGGUUCGAGUUUCGUUUGUAC
rnacentral:piRNA from 1 species